CAGUAGCCACGGGAAUACGGAGGGGGCUAGCGUUGUUCGGAAUUACUGGGCGUAAAGCGUACGUAGGCGGCUUUGUAAGUUAGAGGUGAAAGCCUGGUGCUCAACACCAGAACUGCCUUUAAGACUGCAUCGCUUGAACGUCGGAGAGGUGAGUGGAAUUCCGAGUGUAGAGGUGAAAUUCGUAGAUAUUCGGAAGAACACCAGUGGCGAAGGCGGCUCACUGGACGACUGUUGACGCUGAGGUACGAAAGCGUGGGGAGCAAACAGGAUUAGAUACCCGCGUAGUCCCUGUCUCUUAUAA
rnacentral:rRNA from 1 species